GAUUGAACGCUGGCGGCAUGCCUUACACAUGCAAGUCGAGCGCGAAAGGGGGCAACCCCGAGUAGAGCGGCGGACGGGUGAGUAACGCAUCGGAACGUGCCCAGUAGUGGGGGACAACCUCGAGAAAUCGAGGCUAAUACCGCAUACGACCCACGGGUGAAAGCGGGGACCGCAAGGCCUCGCGCUAUUGGAGCGGCCGAUGUCCGAUUAGCUAGUUGGCGGGGGUAAGAGCCCACCAAGGCGACGAUCGGUAGCUGGUCUGAGAGGACGACCAGCCACACUGGGACUGAGACACGGCCCA
rnacentral:rRNA from 1 species